GUUAGCCGCUGUCCAUGUUUACCACACGGACAUUUGUUGCAGACGGACGCACUGUUGGACCAGUGGAAAAGCAUUGCCAAAAACGACAGAUUAGCGGCCAAGAAGGAGCGAGCCCGAGACUCCCAAGGCUCAGCGGGUACUCGGCUUGACGUCCCGACCUGAAGCUGGGGCGCUCGCUGACCCUGUAAUGGCAUCUGUGCAACCGCCACAAGACUCAACGUGAGCGCGAGGUGAGUCCGAGAGACGCGAGGGAUCAAGACCCCCCCCGAGUCGAGCGGCAUGCAGAGUGGGGGAACGAACAGGGUGCCUAAUUGACGGCCCUUUAAAAUUCCCGCAGACGAGCGAUGGUGCUUUUCAUGUGGGGGCCGCUCCAAUAGAGAAGAGUGACGAGUGACAAGGAGGUGAGGAGCACACAGGAGACCUGCUGCACAUACUGGAUGAUUCGGGCGGGGCGGGGGAACAUGUACAAUAACUUACGAUGGCGAUAAAAAAAAUUCUCCUUUUCUCAAAACUGUCCAAAACAAUUCCCCCCCCCCCCCCAAAAAAAUAUGACUUGACUUUAUUAUUACCGCUGUUUU